rnacentral:rRNA from 1 species
AGUGAACGCUGGCGGCAGGCCUAACACAUGCAAGUCGAGCGGCAGCGCGGGGGCAACCCUGGCGGCGAGCGGCGGACGGGUGAGGAAUUCGUCGGAAUCUGCCUUUUUGUGGGGGAUAACGUAGGGAAACUUACGCUAAUACCGCAUACGUCCUACGGGAGAAAGUGGGGGACCACAGGGCCUCACGCAGAAAGAUGAGCCGACGACCGAUUAGCUAGUUGGUGGGGUAAAGGCCCACCAAGGCGACGAUCGGUAGCUGGUCUGAGAGGAUGAUCAGCCACGCUGGGACUGAGAGACGGCCCAGACUCCUACGGGGGGCAGCAGUGGGGAAUAUUGGACAAUGGGGGAAAGCCUGAUCCAGCCAUGCCGCGUGAGUGAAGAAGGCCUUCGGGUUGUAAAGCACUUUUGUCCGGAAAGAAAUCCCUGGAGCUAAUACCUUCGGGGGAUGACGGUACCGGAAGAAUAAGCACCAGCUAACUUCGUG